UAAAAAAUUAUAAUAAUCUAUAUUAUAUUAUAUUAUAUUAUAGAUACAACUGUACAUAUAUAAAUUAUGAUUAAGGUUAAAUGUACGAUAACAUUUUGUCACUUUGUAGUUUGUACUAUUGAAAAUUGAUAUGAAAAAUAAAUUUUUGAAGAAAACAAGUUACUUAAUUCGUUUUUUUCUCCUUCAAACAUAGUCAUUACGUAGAUAGGUAUAACCGCUAACAUGUUAUUAUGGAUAUUUUCAAUAAAAUGGAAUAUUUUAAUUGUUAAUCGCUAAUGAAUGUAUGUAAUUUAAACCGCCCUUCAUUGCAAUUUGAUAUAGAAAAAUUAAUAAAAAAAAAAAAGGUUAACAGUGUGAUCUGCAAUUACGAAAAUAAGGUUUAUAAGUUGGGUCAAAUACUGGAUUUUCUUUCAGUCACUGUAUCAUUGAACAAUGAACUUUCAAGGUUGUUAUCAUCAAAUUGAAUAGUAUAUUGCCGCAGAAUAAAAAAAAACGUAUUCUAAGAAUUUGUACUAUGAUUCGAAUGUGACCCCAUAUGACUUGACAGAAAUGUUGAAAUAUUCUUAAAAGCUGAACUUGUAAAAGAAGAAUCAUGUGAUGUUCCUGGUUUUGAUGAAGCUGUAUCUACCAAUUCAUG